AGAGUUUGAUCCUGGCUCAGGACGAACGCUGGCGGCGCGCUUAACACAUGCAAGUCGAGCGAGAACCAGGGCUUCGGCCCUGGGGACAGCGGCGAACGGGUGAGUAACACGUGGGUCAUCUGCCCUCGGCACCGGAAUAGCCCGGGGAAACCCGGAUUAAUGCCGGAUGGCCCGGCUGCUCUACGGGGCGGCCGGAAAAGGUAGCUUCGGCCUCCGGCCGAGGAUGAGCCCGCGGCGGAUUAGCUAGUUGGUGGGGUAAUGGCCCACCAAGGCGACGAUCCGUAGCUGGUCUGAGAGGACGAUCAGCCACACUGGGACUGAGACACGGCCCAGACUCCUACGGGAGGCAGCAGUGGGGAAUCUUGCGCAAUGGGCGAAAGCCUGACGCAGCGACGCCGCGUGAGGGAAGAAGGCUUUCGGGUUGUAAACCUCUUUCAGGAGGGACGAAGCCACUCGGGUUAAUAGCCCAGAGGGUGACGGUACCUCCAGAAGAAGCCCCGGCUAACUACGUGCCAGCAGCCGCGGUAAUACGUAGGGGGCAAGCGUUGUCCGGAUUUAUUGGGCGUAAAGAGCGUGUAGGCGGCCAGACAGGUCCGUUGUGAAAACUGGAGGCUCAACCUCCAGACGUCGACGGAAACCUUCUGGCUAGAGUCCGGAAGAGGAGAGUGGAAUUCCUGGUGUAGCGGUGAAAUGCGCAGAUAUCAGGAAGAACACCCGUGGCGAAAGCGGCUCUCUGGGACGGUACUGACGCUGAGACGCGAAAGCGUGGGGAGCGAACAGGAUUAGAUACCCUGGUAGUCCACGCCGUAAACGAUGGGCGCUAGGUGUGGGAGGUGUCGACUCCUCCCGUGCCGCAGCCAACGCAUUAAGCGCCCCGCCUGGGGAGUACGGCCGCAAGGCUAAAACUCAAAGGAAUUGACGG
rnacentral:rRNA from 1 species